rnacentral:lncRNA from 1 species
CAAUCCAUUUCCCCUUAACCCGGCCCAUUUCUUUUGUUCAGCAAAGAGUUCAACAACUAUUCCAAACAACAAAGGCAAACAGCAGCACACGGAAAUCUCACGGAGACGGACGGAAAGCAGCGGCAACAGGCAGUACGCUGCCUUUUCUUGUCUUCUUCCUCAACGUCCCUCUCCGAUAGUACUGUUCCAGCCGUGAUUCCAGUAAAAGCAGCACGCAUUUUCGUCCUUGUGGUGUGAGAUUGAGGCACAUAGCAUCUCAAGGACUCUCAAUCGAUCGAGACCCUCCACCUCAUUCCAAUCCGUUUGAAAUGAGGAUCAAUUCGGUAUAUUCUUCCGUCCUUGGAGAGAAUUUGAGGGGGAAUUUUCAAAAUUUGUGGGCCUUGUUCUUAUCCAACUUCUCGGCCCUUUUCCCAAAUUCCGAACCCUAGUUUUUCCUUAUAAAUACCCUCUUUGCUCACUGUUCAAAGGAGGGUUUUUUUUCGAGACCUGAGAGUACCCUAAAAGGUUUGGGAAAUCUUGGUUCAAUAGUUUAAUUUGUUGUGGUUGUUUGAGUUGAAAGAGGUGGAAUCGUCUCCGUCAAACUCAUCCGUCCAGUUCGCUGCCCCGAGCCAGGUAAUCUUCUCUUUAUUUCAGCAUUUUGUUGGCUCUUGAAAUCUUGUUUGGCGUUAGCUGUUUAAGUAUGUUUUCAGUAGCUUAAAUUUUAUUUUUUAUUUUUUGCCUAUUUUUGAACUGUCUAAUUUAUAUGUGAGAUAUUUAUGUCUUUAAUUUCAUCAUUUUCUACCAUCUUAGGACAAAUAUAAUCAGUAUUGAAUGAAGUUAGAGUUAUUUUUUUUUUUAUUUUUUUUUAUUUUUUUUGUUCAAGCAUUUUAGUUGUCAAGUAGUCGAUCUGUGUAGCUUGUUGUAUUCGUUUGAUUUGAAAAGGUUUUAAAGCGCUAGUUAUUCUCGACUUGCUUCACCUUUUGACUUAUGACAAAUUUUAAAUUUGGAGUUGAAUAUUCUCAUUCAUGAUGAGCGAAAACCUCCCCAUUCAUCUAAUCUUUUUACAUGUAUAAGAGAAUGUAGUGAUUAAUUUCUCUCUAGUCAGCCAUGUGAUCCAAUAUGAGCUUGAAGUGUGUUUAUUUUGAUUAUAGCGCGACUGUUUAAAUUCGAGUUUGCGAACUUGCUUCAUGCUGUCUCAUUUCCAAUCGUUUUCGGCUCCUAGUUGUCGUCCGUCUCUCUGUUUUGAGGUUCCUAUUUUGAUUUCCAUGUGAAUGAUUCAAAAUGAUGUUCGAUUUAGUGUUAUGUCUCAUGUUACCUUAAGAUUAAUGAGUGUAGCUAUAUGUUUAACACAACUGAUAAUUUAUUUAUGUGUUAAGAUGUUAGUUUGUUGUUCUUUAUAAUGCUACUGUCGGGAUUAAUGGAACACAAAAGUUCUCAUGUGUUAACCGAUUUUUAUUUAUUUUUGACUCCUUAAUCUCUAGUUUUCUCUGACUGCUGGUUGAAUUUAAGGUUUAUGUGAAGUUGUUUAAAUUGUCCCUUCCUUGUCUAUUUUCCGAUUUUCUUUGCUCAAAUUUAUAGCUAAAGUUUGUAGUUAUGGAUUGUCUUAAUGUGAAUAUAAAGAAAAGGUUUUAGGAUCAAAUGUUGCCUUCAUUUUGUUUGGCAUAUUACUUGAUUUAUCUCUGCCAAAAAAUGAUUUUCAAUUGUCCAUAAUUAAUUAAGCAUGUUAGUAUAAACUACUUUGAAGUCCUCAUUAUGAUAUGUCAUUUUUAUCGCCUUUAGCAUAACUGAGUUAAUACAUAUCAAUUAAUCUUAUGUGACUUCAAAUAUUUAAAUUUUGAAUCUAAAAGAGAUUGGAGUUUGUACAUCCAUGAGUAGUGUCGGGUUUGGUCUUGAUGUGAUACUUGUUUGAAUCUCUUUAUUUAUUAAUUAUAUGGAAUGUACUCUUUCUAUCAUUAAUUAUUAUACAUGCUAGUUGAAGUCUGCAUGCCUUAAUUCUUGGCUACAAACCUUUCUGCAAGUAUCAUGUGAUAAGCUCCCCAUAUUGUGGUACUAGUUUUUUUUUCUAUUUUAAUUGAAAUUGUUCAUUUUAAGUUAAAAUUUGAAAAAAAAUGCUAGCUUUGUUUGAUCGUACAAAUUAUUUGUGCUUAAAGCUGAAUGAGAUGUGUGCUUUCCUUAAUUAUCUAAAAAUUGUUCACUUUGCUAAUUUACUUUUUUUUUUCUCUUCUUUGUUUGUUGUAUGUGACAUCCGAAUGAGUCCAAUGGACUCUCAUCUCUUGCAUUUUCCUCUUCGAGUCGACCUCCUUUAAACCGACUGAAAUGGAAGUUAUUUUCAUCGGGAUAAGCACCCCAAAAAGACAGCAGCAGCAGUAGCUUAAAGGGCUAAAAGAAUAGUUUUUUUUUUUUUUAUUUGAAAAGUCUGAAAAUGGCACCAGCUGAAGCAGAGUUGCAGCUGCCUCUAAAAGGCAGAAAAACGAGGAGAAAAAAUUGGGUCGAAACCCCGACAAACCACCAGCAGUAGCAGCAGUCCCCAAAGGGACUAAAAUUGGAAAUUUUUGGACUUUAAAAAGUCCAAUCUGGGCAGCAGCAAAUGAGAAGCAGCAAGUGGACUUAAAGUUGUCCAAAUCCUAUUUGCACUUUUGUUUCCCUUAUAUCGUGAUUUUGUGAUACUUGCUCUUAAUUUCUAACAUUUAUUUUAUCAAUUUAGAUGAAUCCUUGGGGUGAUAUGUUUAUUAAAGUUUUCAAAUUUUGAAACUCAUUUUAAGUUAGGUAAUUUAAGCUUUAUAGAAUGACUUGAGAACCUUUUAUGUUCUUUCAUAGUUAUUGAUAAGCUUCGAAUCCAUGUUUACGAGUUUGAACUAACUAUUUGGUUCAAAUUUUUAAAUAGGAUAAAGUUGUUAAGUUUCUUAAAAUAAAUUAGUUGUCUUUUAGUUUAACUUAGGACCUUGUAUGAAUGACUUAAGGAUUUUCUAUAUAUUUUUGUAGUUGUCAAACAA